GGUUACUGGGUCAGGAUGCGGGGCCCGUCGUCGGUGACGGCGACGGUGUGUUCCCAGUGCGCCGCGCGGGUUCCGUCGGCGGUGACGAC
rnacentral:tRNA from 1 species